rnacentral:rRNA from 1 species
AUUGAACGCUGGCGGCAGGCCUAACACAUGCAAGUCGAACGAGUGGCGGACGGGUGAGUAACGCGUGGGUAACCUGCCUCAUAGCGGGGGUAAACUCUUGGAAACGAUAGCAAAUACGGAUUACUGUCCGAUGGCGUGCGUUGUAUUAGUUGGUUGGUGAGGUAAAGGCUCACCAAGGCGACGAUACAUAGCAGACCUGAGAGGAUGACCAGCCACACUGGAACUGAGACACGGCCCAGACUCCUACGGGAGGCAGCAGUGGGGAAUCUUCGGCAAUGGACGGAAGUCUGACGGAGCAACGCCGCGUGUGUGAAGAAGGUUUUCGGAUCGUAAAGCACUGUUGUUAGGGAAGCGGUAUCUAACCAGAAAGCCACGGCUAACUCCGUGCCAGCAGCCGCGGUAAUAC